UGAGUAGUUGCAAUGGGUAUGAAAUGUACCUAAUAAUAAUGAAGCAUUUUUUUGGUUGGAACAUUUAAACUUUCAACACUGGAAUAAGUUGAACUAAUAAAAAUAGAAUGUUCGAGUAACUAAGAACGCAGCAACGGUUGGAAAAGUAAAAUCGUCAGGCACCUACAGAUAGAUUGAAAUUAUAUGAUAAAUAUGAAUGAAGAAUCGAGAAAACAGUACCUAAUCUGAAUUCAGAUCCGGUAAAAUACAUGUGUACUUACUACUAAAACAUAUAUACGAAUAAUUUUCGCCGUAAAUAUAACAGCUACUUUUCAAGGUUAAAGUAGGUACACAGUACACAUCAUUUAUUUUGAAAUAAUAGCACAGCUUUGAAUUUAGAUUUAGGUACCUAGCUGAGCUACCUACCCCAAUACAGGAAAUUAUAACACUCAUUCGCUUGGAAAAUGAAGAAAAAAUUUUAAUAACAUAGGCUAAUCACAAUCAAAGACCUUCGAAUGAAAAUUAGAAUAAGCACAGACAGACGGCUAAUUAUACUAGUACAGAGUAGAAUUAGGUAAGUAGCUGAAACAACUGCAGCUCAUCUACUUGAAUGGAGAUGAUAACAGCUGAUAACACAAUAUUCCAACUUCAUUUGUUCGCCUGUUAUUCCAUUAAAUUGAUGCGAAGUCUGUGGCAACAGUGAACAGAUAGGUACCUACCAGUUACCAGUACAUAAACUCGAAUGAAAAAUGCUUCCAAAAAAAAGUGAAUCCAUGCACAUUGCACAGAUUUGAAAGAAUAUUUUAUGGACGCCUACGAGUGUAUAGGUACAAUAUUUACUCAGCUGGCAGCCAGUUUUCAUUUUAACCUGCGAUAGGCCUAUGACCUAUGUAAUGGCUGUGCUUCCAUAUCCAUACUUAUCUCAUUAGCAAACGAUAACAUUAACGUAAGUACAUAUUUAAUAUGUUCGAAACAGGAACAAAUUAUCGUCGUUGUAAAAUUACAAAUGAAUACUAAUAUGAUCAAAUGUAAUCCAGAGAUGACUUCUCUCGUCUAUCUAUUAUUUUUUUUUUAUCCGACGAAUUAUACCUAUAUACCUGCGGAACUGUAAAAAUGAAUCAUAAUCUUAUACGAUGCAACUGUUACGUCAAUAGAUAGGUAAAUUGCUAAUGUACGUUUUCAUCCAGCUAUAGAUAUUCAUCUGGGUAUUAAUAAGAUAUACCUAUAAACAAUGUCUAAUAUUACCAAAAUUCCUUAGGCACUUUAAACGUUUAGAAAAUCGUUAGUAGGUAAAAAAAAAUCUUAUUCAAUAGUGGAAAAUUUAUAAUUAAAAAACAAGAUUUGUGUAAUUAUAAUUUAUACAUACGAUACAACAGAUUGACCAGUAAGAUUUGCGGAUAGCUUAGACGUUUGAUAGUUCCUUCUUUUUUUUUUCAUCAUAACAUGCUCUGAAUUCUGUAGUAAAAACAUUAGCAAGGUAUUUAGGUACCUACCUAUGAACUGUUUUUGUGAAUGAUGAUGAUUAGGCGUACCUACCUACUUCACACAAAUUAAUAGUAGCCUUGAUAAAAUUACGUUUUUGGAUUUAAAAAAAAUAAAAAUAAAAAUAUAUUUAAACUCAAGUACUCGAGUAAGAUUUUAAAAAUAAUUUUCAACGCAAAAUAAUUUGAUCAAAAAUUUUCUUUGAAAAGUACCUACUCGUACGUACACAGAUAUCUAACGUUUUGCCUGAAAGAAUUCCACAGGCAAUCGUUACACAUUUUAUCCUCGUAGGGGCCACAUUCAUUAAAGUACAAAUACUUAGCACUGGUUUUUAAUGUUAACCCUGUCUGUAUUUAUAAUACAGCUUACGUUAGAUUAGAUGUAUUACGACGUAUGUAUUACAUAUUUAUAAAGCAUACAUUGACAUAAUGUGAGAGUUUAAGGAACCUACGUAGUACUUACCUAUAUGAAACAAUCCAUAUAGUGAAACAUAAUACAUGUACCUUAUAUACAAGGCUUUGCUGUGAGAAAAAAAGCUGUCCAGAUGACCUACGCAUGUUUUUCUUCAAGUUCAACGUCUAUGUGAUACGUUUACGUUGAUGCAUCAAGAAUUCAUCACAUAGCCAUUGAAAACACCCAAAAGUACAUUCGAAUACAUAACUCAAUAUUGAAAUUGACAUUAUUUUCCAACCUUCAGCCUCUCCAUGUUCAGUAUUAUCAUCAUCGACGUCGACAAGAUGUUUAAGUUUGCGAAACGACUGGAAGCUGCAUGCGUUUGGUUGAUUCAUUGAAGAAAUCAAGGUUACAAAUAUGUACUAGAGCCUAUGAAUGUUUAAUUUUAUUCAGCAUGUGAUCGGAAAUGCACCUUUAGAAGUGUAUACAACUUAUAUAUACAUACUAGCUCUGUUGAAUUAUCACUCGUCAGUUGUCCUACAAAUGGAUUUAAAAUAAUUAUUCAUUGGAUUAAAUAUGUAGGUACCUAAUUGAUCUGUGUAAAAUAUAAUUACUUUUCGUAUCAACCUUGAAA